rnacentral:misc_RNA from 1 species
UGAAGGAGAAUUAGGUGGU